rnacentral:tRNA from 1 species
UCCCUGGUGGUCCACUGGCUAAGACUCUGCACUCCUAAAGCAUGGGGCCCUGGGUUCGAUCCCUGGUCAGGGAA